rnacentral:rRNA from 1 species
GGAAGGCAGCAGGCGCGCAAAUUACCCACUCCCGGAACGGGGAGGUAGUGACGAAAAAUAACAAUACGGGACUCUUUUGAGACCCCGUAAUUGGAAUGAGUACACUCUAAAUCCUUUCACGAGGAUCCAUUGGAGGGCAAGCCUGGUGCCAGCAGCUGCGGUAAUUCCAGCUCCAAUAGCGUAUAUUAAAGUUGUUGCGGUUAAAAAGCUCGUAGUUGGAUCUCAGUUCCAGACGGGUGGUCCGCCUACCGGUGGUUACUGCCUGAUCUGAACAGCCCGCCGGUUUCUCUUGAUGAUCUUCACCGGUUGUCUUGGGUGACCGGCAAGUUUACUUUGAAAAAAUUAGAGUGCUCAAAGCAGGCGUGACGCCUGAAUAAUGGUGCAUGGAAUAAUGGAAUAGGACCUCGGUUCUAUUUUGUUGGUUUUCGGAACACGAGGUAAUGAUUAAGAGGGACAGACGGGGGCAUUCGUAUUGCGACGCUAGAGGUGAAAUUCUUGGACCGUCGCAAGACGAACUACUGCGAAAGCAUUUGCCAAGAAUGUUUCCAUUAAUCAAGAACGAAAGUUAGAGGUUCGAAGGCGAUCAGAUACCGCCCUAGUUCUAACCAUAAACGAUGCCAGCCAGCGAUCCGGCUGUGUUCCUCAAAUGACACGCCGGGCAGCUUCCGGGAAACCAAAGCUUUUGGGUUCC